UCCUUGAAAACUAAGUGGCAUGAACCACCAUCAUCAACACAAUAUUGCCUUGAAAGUUCUACAACAGCUCUAGCAGCUAGGCUUGGAUGUUCUGCAAACUCAGCCGCUGCUUGAGCAGCAGUGGUAGCAUCCUUAAAUUUCAUAUUCCAAUUCUGCCUGCCAAUAGAAAAUUUACCAUCUCCAUGAAAUGAUUGCCCAUGUUCUAACGUUUUAUCCUUGAAACCUAAGUGGCAUGAACCAUCAUCAUCAACACAAUAUUUCUUUGAAAGUUCUACAACAGCUCUGGCAGCUUGGCUUGCAUGUUCUACAAACUCAGUCGCUGCUUGAGCAGCAGAGGUAGCAUCCUUAAAUUUCAUAUUCCAAUUCUUCCUGCCAAUAGAAAUAUUACCAUUACAACAUCUCUGGCAGCUAGGAUUGCAUGUUCUGGAAACUCAGCCACUCCUUGAGCAGCAAAGGUAGCAUCCUUAAAUUUCAUGUUUCAAUUCUACUUGUCAACAGAAAAAUUAACAUUAUCAUCUCCAGGAAAUGCUUGUCCAUGUUCCAACCUUUCAUCCUUGAAACCUAAGUGGCAUGAACCACCAUCAUCAACACAAUAUUGCCUUGAAAGUUCUACAACAACAUUGGCAGCUAGGCUUGGAUGUAAUGCAAACUCAGCCGCUGCUUGAGCAGCAGAGGUAGCAUCCUUAAAUUUCAUGUUCCAAAUCUGCCUGCCAAUAGAAAAUUUACCAUCUCCAGGAAAUUAUUGCCCAUGUUCCAACCUUUUAUCCUUGAAACCUAAGUGGCAUGAACCACCACCAUCAACACAAUAUUGCCUUGAAAGUUCUAUAACAACUCUUGUAGCUAGGCCUGCAUGUUCUGCAAACUCAGUCGCUACUUGAGCAGCAGUGGUAGCAUCCUUAAAUUUCAU
rnacentral:lncRNA from 1 species